GCGGAGGGCCGGAUGGCCGCGGGGGGUGCAAACCUCACGAGGAAAGUCCGGACUCCACAGGGCAACGGUGCCGGGUAACGCCCGGGCGGGGCAACCCGACGGAUAGCGCAACAGAAAGCAAACCGCCUGCGCUGGUCGUAGGUAAGGGUGAAAGGGUGGGGUAAGAGCCCACCGGGGGCCUGGUAACAGGUCUUGCAUGGCAAGCCCCACCAGGAGCAAUGCCAAAUAGGAACCUCAGGUGGGUUGAUCGUCUUUUCGAUAUCACCACCGGGCAUCUUUGGCCUGUAGGGUUCGGGUUGGCAGCUAGAGGCGCAGGGGCAACCUUGGGCUAAGAGGAAUGAUCAUCCAAGAGGGCAACCUCUGGACAGAAUCCGGCUUAUAGGUUCUCCGCGCGU
rnacentral:RNase_P_RNA from 1 species